UACGUAGGGACCAAGCGUUGUUCGGAUUUACUGGGCGUAAAGGGCGCGUAGGCGGCUUAACAAGUCACUUGUGAAAUCUCCGGGCUUAACUCGGAACGGCCAAGUGAAACUGUCAAGCUAGAGUGCAGAAGGGGCAAUCGGAAUUCUUGGUGUAGCGGUGAAAUGCGUAGAUAUCAAGAGGAACACCUGAGGUGAAGACGGGUUGCUGGGCUGAUACUGACGCUGAGGCGCGAAAGCUAGGGUAGCAAACGGG
rnacentral:rRNA from 1 species